AUUGAACGCUGGCGGCAGGCCUAACACAUGCAAGUCGAGCGGAUGAAGGUGGCUUGCGCCUGGAUUCAACGGCGGACGGGUGGGUAAUUCCUAGGAAGCUGCCUUGUCGUGGGGGAUAACGCCAGGAAACGGGCCCUAAUCUCGCAUCGCUUCAUAGGGUGAAAGAUGGGGUUUUUGGUUCAUCACGGCAAUUGAUUCACCUAGGUAGGAUCAGCCGGUUGGUUGGGUAAUGGCCUACCAAGGCGACCACCCGUAACUGGUCUGAGAGGAUGACUAGUCACACUGGAACUGAGAAACGGUCCAGACUCCUACGGGAGGCAGCAGUGGGGAAUAUUGGACAUUGGGCGAAAGCCUGAUCCAGCCAUGCCGCGUGUGUGAAGAAGGUCUUCGGAUUGUAAAGCACUUUAAGUUGGGAGGAAGGGCAGUAAGUUAAUACCUUGCUGUUUUGACGUUACCAACAGAAUAAGCACCGGCUAACUUCGUG
rnacentral:rRNA from 1 species